UCAGCUCUCAUUGCCUUUUGGCUCUGAUCAAGUGUAGUAACUGUUCUUUCUCUUUUAAUCUUGAGAAAGCCCCUACGGGGGCCGAUUACUCUUGCUUGUUUUUGGAAACCGCCUCUGGGGCUGCUGAGCUCCGCUCAUCUUCAGAGGCACGGUGUCGCCCGUAUUGCACUGUCUCGGGCUGACGCGAACUCCU
rnacentral:snRNA from 1 species